CCUACGGGAGGCAGCAGUAGGGAAUAUUGGUCAAUGGGCGAGAGCCUGAACCAGCCAUGCCGCGUGCAGGAAGAAGGCCCUCUGGGUUGUAAACUGCUUUUGACAGGGGCCAAAAUACUCAUGCGUGAGGAAUUGAGAGUAUAGAAUAAGCACCGGCUAACUCCGUGCCAGCAGCCGCGGUAAUACGGAGGGUGCAAGCGUUGUCCGGAUUUAUUGGGUUUAAAGGGUGCGUAGGUGGCCUUAUAAGUCAGUGGUGAAAGCCUGCAGCUUAACUGUAGGACUGCCAUUGAUACUGUAGGGCUUGAGUACUGAUGAGGUAGGCGGAAUUGAUAGUGUAGCGGUGAAAUGCAUAGAUAUUAUCAAGAACACCGAUUGCGAAGGCAGCUUACUAAGGAGUUACUGACACUGAGGCACGAAAGCGUGGGGAUCAAACAGGAUUAGAUACCCUGGUAGUCCACGCCAUAAACGAUGAUUACUCGAUGUAUGCGAUAGAUAGUAUGCGUCCAAGCGAAAGCGUUAAGUAAUCCACCUGGGGAGUACGACCGCAAGGUUGAAACGUUAAAUAGAAUUGAGG
rnacentral:rRNA from 1 species